rnacentral:lncRNA from 1 species
GAGGCUCAAAAAAUCUUACCUUUGUUUCUUUCUAUUGCAGGGCUGGGGGCGAUUGGAGUACAACUUAUGCUCCUUCACCAUUCUACAUGACAUCUAAGAUGAGGUCUCUUUACCUUGAAGGAUACGAUUAUUCAGUAUUCGACAUGACAAGACAUGACAGAGUUCAAAUACAGGUAAUUCUUGAUAAUUGUUGCAUAUUAAUUAUUAUUGGCCAUAGUGAGUGGUGAGAACAUUAUAUUGCAAAUACUUUGUACUGCAUAACACUCAGGAACUUAGAAUAAAAUUAUUCAUGAGGGUGUUACAAAUGCAUUGUAAUGACCAGUGUGAAGGCUGAAGCAAGAAAGCCAAUGACAGUGAGAAGCAAUUCUUUAUGCCAAUAAACAAUGUGAUUGCCAAGUGAAAAAUAUGUUUUCUGCGUAGAAUGUUUAGGUUUAAUGCAAUGAAUUAUUGGCAAACUUCAGAAUACACUGUUAACAGAAAUUUUCAUUGAAUGAGAAGUUUCUUUUUCAAACUUAAGUUACACUUGAAUAAAACACUCAAAAUUUAAAUGGAGAGAAAAAUAUUUCAAGUACUGAGCACACUCAUUCAGGGUUUAAACUUGCAGUUUCCUAUUUUCUGUAUAUUGGAGCUUGCAGAUUCAGAGCAAUUCAGUUCAAGGAAGAAUAUUGAAUGGCAACUCACCUUCUGAGAUUAUUGAAAACUUAACAGAAACUAUCGGGAGACCUCCCGAGCUUCCUAAGUGGAUUAUAUCUGGGGCUGUUGUUGGAAUGCAAGGUGGUACAGAAGCUGUACGCCGUGUUUGGGAUGAAUUGAAGGAUCAUAAGGUUCCUAUUUCAGCCUUUUGGUUGCAGGUAUUCCCUGUACCUAUACAGAAGCAUAUCAAAGCACAUCAAAAUCUACGGAAUCUUUCACAUUCACAAAUAUUUACAGCCAUGUUAAUUUUCUAUGAUUUUUAUAGUUAAAGAACAACUUUAAAAGGUUUAUAUUAUAUGUCAUUACAUAGAUGGUAUGUAUGAAUAGCUUCAUGUAGAAGUUCUCACCCUGAAGCACUUCAUUUGCAGGAUUGGGUAGGGCAGAGGGAGACAAUGAUUGGAUCACAACUGUGGUGGAAUUGGGAGGUAGAUACAGCAAGGUAUCAUGGAUGGCAGCAGCUAAUUAACGAUCUCGGUGCAAAGAAUAUUAAAGUGAUGACAUACUGCAAUCCUUGUCUAGCUCCGGUAUUUUUCUUUUUCCAAAAACUUAUGGUACUAAUAUUGUAAUUUGUAAAAAUUUCAAUACAUGAUCAUCUGGUGUGUGACAUACAGCCAUAUCAAUGUAUAGAGCAUGCUGUCGUUUCUUAAAGUAGGGUGUCUUUGCAUACUCUACAUCUCUUUUUAACAGUAAAUGAUGCUCCGCCCCUGAAACAUAUUUUGCUAUCAUUAUCAGUACCUGAGAGUUUGAGACUUGGUUGCUUUGCUUUAAACAGGCUGAUGAGAAACCAAACCAAAGGAGAAACCUUUUUGAGGAGGCAAAAAAGCUGGAUAUC